rnacentral:lncRNA from 1 species
AGAAAAAUAAGAAAUCAGAUACUGAGAUGCUUUUCUCAAAUCAAAUUUGUACAGGAUCAUACCCAAACAGUCAAAACGUGCACAUAUUAGCCUUAUUAAAGAUUUACGAAAAAAUCCAAAAAAUAAAAAAUCAAUUACUGAGAUGCUUUUCUCAAAUCAAAUUGGUACAGGAUCAUACCCAAACAGUCAAAACGUGCACAUAUUAGCCUUAUUAAAGAUUUACGAAAAAAUUCGAAAAAUAAAAAAUCAAUUACUGAGAUGCUUUUCUCAAAUCAAAGUGGUACAGGAUCAUACCCAAACAGUCAAAACAUGCACAUAUUAGCCUUAUUAAAGAUUUAUGAAAAGAUCCUCGAAUCGUCACAUACAUGCUUUUCCCAUACAAAAUUACCCAUAUUGACUAAGAGGCAUAAAAAUGUGAAGUUGCAAUAAGUUAGGCGUGUUUUCACAUACCAGAAAGAGACGAACAAAUUGACUCAACAUUCAAGUUAAGCGUCACGAAAUUUCAAUCAAGCAGGACU